rnacentral:pre_miRNA from 1 species
GUCACACUGAUCACACCUAUAGUAUAGGGUUUCUCUCCUGUGAAGAGACAUAGAAACAGGCGAGAAACCCUGCAAGUGAGACCAUUGUGACUGAU